GCCCAGCCGAGUUUUAAAAGUGUUUAUAAACGUGUCAGUGGACUAAGUACGGCUCUUAGCAACAAUCAAUUUGAUAGGAACCGGAUUUUCCAUCGAUCUAAUCGCCAGUGUCUAAGUACUCGAAUUUUAAUAGAUAUGAUUCUAGACGAGAUCAGAUAUGCAAAAAAAUCGAGGAUUUACCUAUAAG